rnacentral:tRNA from 1 species
UGGAAUAUAGCUCAGUGGUAGAGCACGUGACUAGCAUUCACCAUACCCCGGAUUUGAUAUCCAGCAUGGCAA